rnacentral:rRNA from 1 species
CACGGGGGGAGCAAGCGUUGUUCGGAAUCACUGGGCGUAAAGGGCGUCUAGGCGGUUUGGUAAGUGGAAUGUGAAAUCCCUCGGCUCACCCGAGGACCUGCAUCCCAAACUGCCGAGCUUGAGUAUGGGAGAGGAUGAGGGAAUUCCUGGUGUAGCGGUGAAAUGCGUAGAUAUCAGGAGGAACACCGGUGGUGUAGACGGCUCACUGGACCAUAACUGACGCUGAGACACGAAAGCGUGGGUAGCAAACAGG